GAUAAACGCUGGCGGCGUGCAUAACACAUGCAAGUCGAACGAAGUGGCGAACGGGUGAGUAAAACGUCCGUAACCUGCCUUACACCAGGGGAUAGCCUUUGGUAACGCCGAAUAAUACCCUAUCGUGUAAGAUGGACUUGCGUCUGAUUAGCUCGUUGGUGAGAUAAAGGCCCACCAAGGCCAAGAUCAGUAUCCGGCUUGAGAGAGGGUCAGGACACAUUGGGAAGGAGGCACGGGCCAAACUCUACAGGAGGCGGCAGUGGGGAAGUUUGCACAAUGGGGGAAGCUCUGAGGCAGCGACGCCGCGUGAUUUAGAAGGCCUUCGGGUUGGAAAAAUCGUUUUUAUGGAAAGCAGUACCAUAAGAAUAAGGUCCGGCUAAAUACGUGCCAGCAGUCGCGGUAAUAC
rnacentral:rRNA from 1 species